GGGGAAGUCCGGUGCAAGUCCGGCGCUGUCCCGCAACGGUAACCGGGCCUCCGCCCGGAAGCCCGAGUACCC
rnacentral:ncRNA from 1 species